ensembl:snoRNA SNORD18 Small nucleolar RNA SNORD18
CUACAGUGAUGAGCUUCCACUUCGGUCCGUGUUUCUGAUUCCUGAUACCCAACAGAAGUUCUGAGUUU